rnacentral:rRNA from 1 species
AUUGAACGCUGGCGGCAUGCUUUACACAUGCAAGUCGAACGGUAACAGGCCGCAAGGUGCUGACGAGUGGCGAACGGGUGAGUAAUGCAUCGGAACAUGCCCAGUCGUGGGGGAUAACGCAGCGAAAGCUGCGCUAAUACCGCAUACGAUCUAUGGAUGAAAGCGGGGGACCGUAAGGCCUCGCGCGAUUGGAGCGGCCGAUGUCAGAUUAGGUAGUUGGUGGGGUAAAGGCUCACCAAGCCGACGAUCUGUAGCUGGUCUGAGAGGACGACCAGCCACACUGGGACUGAGACACGGCCCAGACUCCUACGGGAGGCAGCAGUGGGGAAUUUUGGACAAUGGGCGCAAGCCUGAUCCAGCAAUGCCGCGUGCAGGAAGAAGGCCUUCGGGUUGUAAACUGCCUUUGUACGGAACGAAAAGGCUCUGGUUAAUACCCGGGGCUCAUGACGGUACCGUAAGAAUAAGCACCGGCUAACUACGUGCCAGCCGCCGCAGUAACAC